UACGUACUGUGCGAACGUUAUUCGGAAUCACUGGGCUUAAAGGGUGCGCAGGCGGCGUAGCAAGCAGGGUGUGAAAUGCUUCGGCUCAACCGAAGAACUGCGCUCUGAACUGCUAUGCUUGAGUGAGAUAGAGGUGUGUGGAACUUCCAGUGGAGCGGUGAAAUGUGUUGAUAUUGGAAGGAACGCCGGUGGCGAAAGCGGCACACUGGGUCUCAACUGACGCUGAGGCACGAAAGCCAGGGGAGCGAACGGG
rnacentral:misc_RNA from 1 species